GGAAUAUUGGACAAUGGGCGCAAGCCUGAUCCAGCCAUGCCGCGUGAGUGAUGAAGGCCCUAGGGUUGUAAAGCUCUUUCGCCAGGGACGAUAAUGACGGUACCUGGAUAAGAAGCCCCGGCUAACUUCGUGCCAGCAGCCGCGGUAAUACGAAGGGGGCUAGCGUUGCUCGGGAUCACUGGGCGUAAAGGGUGCGUAGGCGGGUCUUUAAGUCAGGGGUGAAAUCCUGGAGCUCAACUCCAGAACUGCCCUUGAUACUGAAGAUCUUGAGUUCGGGAGAGGUGAGUGGAACUGCGAGUGUAGAGGUGAAAUUCGUAGAUAUUCGCAAGAACACCAGUGGCGAAGGCGGCUCACUGGCCCGAUACUGACGCUGAGGCACGAAAGCGUGGGGAGCAAA
rnacentral:rRNA from 1 species